GUGCACGCUGGCGGUAGGCCUCACACCUGCCAGUCGAACGGCAGCACAGUAAGAGCUUGCUCUUACGGGUGGCGAGUGGCGGACGGGUGAGGAAUACAUCGGAAUCUACUUUUUCGUGGGGGAUAACGUAGGGAAACUUACGCUAAUACCGCAUACGACCUACGGGUGAAAGCAGGGGAUCUUCGGACCUUGCGCGAUUGAAUGAGCCGAUGUCGGAUUAGCUAGUUGGCGGGGUAAAGGCCCACCAAGGCGACGAUCCGUAGCUGGUCUGAGAGGAUGAUUAGCCACACUGGAACUGAGACACGGUCCAGACUCCUACGGGAGGCAGCAGUGGGGAAUAUUGGACAAUGGGCGCAAGCCUGAUCCAGCCAUACCGCGUGGGUGAAGAAGGCCUUCGGGUUGUAAAGCCCUUUUGUUGGGAAAGAAAAGCAGCAGGUUAAUACCCCGCUGUUCUGACGGUACCCAAAGAAUAAGCACCGGCUAACUUCGUG
rnacentral:rRNA from 1 species